CAUACGAAAAAACUCUACCUCAAACAAUCAAAACGAUAAUCGAACUUCUCCAGCAACUGUGACUUUUUAUAAUAACAUAGCUAUUAGGUAAAACUAUCCGAGUCAAAUAAAUACAUUUAAAAUAAAACGAUUAAAACCAAGCCUCCACGUUUAUAUAAAAAGUCACGAAGGUUUCUGGAUGACAGCCAGGAAUGCCAGGUGGUUUUGUUAAAAAUCAGGACACCAUGAAGAAAAAAAUCAGGAUUCAGGACCACCAAUUCUGCUUAAUUUGUAUAAAUGAACACGAAAAAUGGUACUGUAGACGCUUUAAUUUAUGCAAAGUAUAUUGCCUGACCUGCAGUUUAUUUGAAAAAAAAAAUUACGACGAUGCAAUACAUUUAAUAAAUAAUUUUUCAAAAAUUAGGACAAAUCCUGAUUUAUCGGGACACCUGGCACCUCUGAUGAUAGCUGUCAUGACUGCUAGCAGUUUUGAGCAACACAAAAAAGAAGAAGAAAUUGAGGUUGGUGGUAAAACGGAAAUCAACAGCAAUUUCGCACGAAUUUUUGAUGCUGUAGAUCAACAAUUAGUGCGAAAUUGCUGUCUUAUCUCCCGCAAAGGAUCAGGAAGCCGGCGCACCGAAGGCUGGACUCAGUACAGCCCAACAAUUAGGCCAAAAGAUGAAAAUAUUUAAGUGUCGCCGAAAACUGCUUAUUUAUAUGCAGCCCGAGUUCCCCGGCUGUGGGGACUGCCCUCGCUGGUGUAGCUAUGGCCAUGCAGUGUAGAUUUCGGACCGAAUUUGCCAAUAUCUGUGCACACUUGUUUUAACAUAGAUAAGCUACGCGAGUUGAACGUAGAAUUAAUUAUAAAUUUGUAUGCAGAAUGAAAUUAAUGUAAGUAAAAAUAAUAAAAUAAAAUAUAUAGUGAA